rnacentral:rRNA from 1 species
AUUGAACGCUGGCGGCAUGCCUUACACAUGCAAGUCGAACGGCAGCACGGGAGCAAUCCUGGUGGCGAGUGGCGAACGGGUGAGUAAUAUAUCGGAACGUGCCCAGUCGUGGGGGAUAACGCAGCGAAAGCUGUGCUAAUACCGCAUACGAUCUACGGAUGAAAGCGGGGGAUCGCAAGACCUCGCGCGAUUGGAGCGGCCGAUAGCAGAUUAGCUAGUUGGUGGGGUAAAGGCCCACCAAGGCGCCGAUCUGUAGCUGGUCUGAGAGGACGACCAGCCACACUGGAACUGAGACACGGUCCAGACUCCUACGGGAGGCAGCAGUGGGGAAUUUUGGACAAUGGGCGCAAGCCUGAUCCAGCAAUGCCGCGUGCAGGAUGAAGGCCUUCGGGUUGUAAACUGCUUUUGUACGGAACGAAACGGCCCUUUCUAAUACAGGGGGCUAAUGACGGUACCGUAAGAAUAAGCACCGGCUAACUACGUGCCAGCCGCCGCGGUAA